UACGUGGGGUGCUAGCGUUGUUCGGAAUUACUGGGCGUAAAGCGCGUGUAGGUGGUUGAAUGGGUCGAAUGUGAAAUCCCUCGGCUUAACCGAGGAACUGCGUCCGAAACUAUUCAACUCGAGUGUGGGAGAGGAAGACGGAAUUCCCAGUGUAGAGGUGAAAUUCGUAGAUAUUGGGAGGAACACCGGUGGCGAAAGCGGUUUUCUGGACCACAACUGACACUGAGACGCGAAAGCGUGGGGAUCAAACAGG
rnacentral:rRNA from 1 species